AAUAAUACUACUUAGAUAAUAGAAUAUUGUGUAAGUUUUUAUUUCUAUAUAAAAUGUAUUAAUAAUUUUCUAAUUUUCUACUAUGCUUUAAAUAUAUUUUAGGUUUUAAUAGGUAAACUUUGAGAAUGUACAUAUAAAAAUAUUCAAGAGAAAUAAAAAAAAAUGCAUUGCAAUUGCGUAAAUUUACAGUUUUUUAUCCGAAUUUUGGAUGCAAAAAGAUUAUAAAGUUACACAAAUUGCAACGAAUUUCUUUUUAUCUCGAUCUCUUGUCUUUACAUAUUCUCAAAGUUUAUCUACUAAAUUUGAAGCAAUAUGCAUAUUUAUAGCAACGAGUUUCAAUGCAUCAAAUACAUUACACCGUUACAUUGCAGUAACCUUACAUUGUAUAAUAUUUCUCAAGGCGGACAUUUCAGCGUUGUCGCAAGCUUGCAGUAACAUUGCAGAAAUAUUUCGCAACGUCCAUGCAAUAUUACAAUAUUUCAAUGUAAGAUUUCUACAAUGUUUUUGUAAUCUUUCGGUGCUCUAUGGGACUAUUAACCGCGUAUGACGUACGCAUUUCCUCGCGUAUACCCUCGUAAAACGAGACUGCGAGCGUUCCGAAAGAUGCGUCGCAUCGCGGAACGCGGCGUGUAUGUACAUACAUAGAUACAAAUUUCGAUCUCGUCACCAAUUCCAAGGUACGUGGUACGAGGCGGCGGGUAGGGGCGAGGGGCGGGAAGAGUGAGCGACUGAGGGCGGCGGGAGGAGAGGGGGACGAGAAAAGGUCGCGAAAGCGCUGGACACUGACGUCGCCGUUGUUUGUGCCGGCGCGGCGCGGCGAGACGCGUGAAGUUGGCCGCGUUCGCAAUUUUUCGCGCUCUAACUCGGUAAACGUCUCGAGCGGGAACCUUUUUCCGCGCGAUGUACUCCCGUUGUCGUCGUCGUCGUCGUAACGAAGUGCGCGUCGCGUACGGUCAACAUCGGGAGUGCCGUGUAAAGUGCCGCGCAGCCAUAAUUUAAUAAACCGUCUUUUCCACGAGUGAGCACGAGCUGCGUGCUUCUGUGUUGUGUGGGUGUGCGCGUAGGAGCAGCCGGGAGGAGCGAAGGAGGGAGGGGCCGAGUAGCGGAGGAGGAGGAGGAGGAGGAGGAGAGCCCGGGGAGGCGUCGGGCGACGGCGGAGCAACCACGCGAUCUCAACGUGGCCACGAUGCAGUGUUACAACUCCGCUGUUGCGCGUCGAAGCAGUGAGUUGCCUUUUAUCUUAAUCAGAGGUAAUGGAACCGUGAAUGUGCUGCGGAUGGAUGUAACCUAUCAUAGAUCCACCACCUCGUCCGCAACUAAGUUCCAUUCGUCGCGUUGUCAGUUCGAGGACGGCUUUUCCUGUUCGGUCGUGAUCAAUGUGAAAUAUAAAGAGCACUCGGCAUCGAUUUCCGUUUUAAGGCGUGUUAAAUAUAUUUGCCAACAAUAAUCGAACCGCCACGUGGUCCCGACGCGUUGUUUCUGCGGCGAGUUGUACGCAAGAUGCAAGCGGGCGAGUUGCACCUCAUCGCAUUAGCUAUAACCUACUGCGAGACGUCAUCGAUUAUCAACGGAUCGAUAAUUGGAGAGGUGAGAAUAGAGAUAAUUACACGAGGCAUACUUUCACGCGGAAUUUAUCUUAAAGGAUACUCCGGAGAAAAGAGAAGGAGAUCUCGGCGAUUAGGCGAGCCCGCGAAUCUUCCUGAGAUGAGACCUAACGAAUCCCAUUACUUUCAUUGGCGUCGCGCGACAAUACUCGAGAUGUUCGUGGUCGAAUUUUGCACGUGUGAAGCUUAGUUCGCGAAAAAGCUCCUCCCGUUUUUUCUAUUACGGGAAAUUGAAAACGUCAAUCGCGCGGAGAAAAAAGUUAUAUCGAUUAAAUUAUAGUAAUUAGAAUGGCUCUUCGAAACCUUGUUUUUUAAUAUUCAGUUAAUUUCCUUUAAUUAAACUAGAUUAAUUAAGGUUUAUUUUUGUGCAGUUUAUUCUCUCACACUUUACAUUAUUCUCAUUACUUUAUACAAAUGUGGGAGGGGGGGAAAAGAGAAGACUGGUUGCUCAACGUUUUUAUAUUUCUCCAGUCUUCAUUUUGUGGAAAUAUCUCUAGAGCGAAUGCACGCUUAAAUUCGUUCCAAACUCGGGCUCGCUCCACUUGCAAAAAUAUUUUUUACCUUUCGGCAUUUAAUCGAAUGUAACUUUGUCAGCUAGUUAAUUAGCUUAAAUGCGCUCUUAAUUUCUGGGGGCUGGAAUCCUCGAGGAUAAGUAAAUUAAUUGAAGUUUAUUUGAACUCGAUUCUUCUUUUUUCUUUUCCAAUUGGCGAUCUUUUAAAUUUUAUCGCGCCGCAAUAUCGAUAUAUUCCUAUUCGCGGGGGGAUACACGACGAAGGACUCUCGCGCAGAUUGCUCGGGGCAAUCUCGCGGGAGACGGCGAGCCGAAGCAACCCGGAGUGGCUUUCUCGCUGGAAGCUCGCGAAAGCGCCGAACGUGCCGGGGGUAUUUCGGGGCUCUGCGAGUUUUCGCAAAGUUAUGCGAAACACGCGAAGCGAGUUUCGCUGUUUGAUCGGUAUGACGCUCUCGCAUCCAUCCUUGCUUGCCCUCUUGGCUGGCUGCGCUGCAUUAUUAAGACGUGACCUACCCCGACGAAGAAAAUUCCGCCGUUAUCAGCGGCGAUAAGCUAAUUACGACAAGUCCGACGAGCCGCUUUUCGUGUUCAAUUUACUCGCCGCUUCCGCUUGUUUGUCUUUCCCUGCCUCGCUCCGGGACUUUAAUCCUUUCAUCGUUAGUCCUCGCAAUCUAACAAAUUCCCUUAAUGCAUCGUUUUAUUGAAAUAUUGUGCUCCGCCGCUUUUAUCGCCGUACUUGGUAAAAGCACAAGUUACACACAUCGACUUUGCGCAAACAAUUACGAAAGAGUACAUCUAUUAAUAUUAUUACAGAGCCACGUAUGUCGACAAAUUAAGGUAAAUCUUUUUGUUGACAAUUGCUUGAAAGUAAUCGUAAUCAGAUGUAAGCGAUAAAAAAAAAAUUGAAAUUGAAUUUUUAUAGUUGGCUUUUUAUUUAAUUCCAAUGAAACUCUUCUGCCCAAAGUUAAAAAGAGAUUUAAUCAAUUUGUGAAAUUAACCGCUUUCUGCCUAAUUUCCCUCCACGAUGAGGCCAAUAGGCAAAUAAUUAUUGAGAAAUUAAUUUAAGUCUAAUCUUCGAUGCUCACUCGACUAAUUAAGAACAUUUUAAAGCGGUCUCCAUUUGGAGCAGAUCCGUUGUAAAUAUUGAAAUAGGUCCCUUGUCAAUUUUGUAAUAGGAUAACAUUUGCAUUAUACCGAUAUCCGGUUAAUUCUGUCAAAUCGCCCGUGAAAUUUUGCGGGUGUUAAAUAUUUUGUAGGGAUAAUCUCAAUCGCAAUAUUGACGUUUUCCUAACAGAAGGCCAAUUUGAGAAUUAAAUUUCGAUAGACUCCAAUAAUUGCACGAACGACGAUCGAAAUUCGAUAUCCUCUUUUGACCAUCGUAUAUUUCCGUUUAAUGUCGUGUCACCUUGCGUGCUUCGAAUUUACUUCGAGAGACCUUCCGCGUAUCAGGCACUUGCAUGUCCCGGGCCUUUUUUUCAUUCUGUGUAGCAUCCUGCGGUAAGUUUGAAGGAUUCGCGCGGAUUUAACAAUGCGAGGAUUACGAUAAGAGAGAUAAGAGAACAGCUAGGAGUAAUAGGAUUUCGGAUUGAAAGGAAAAAUCCAAUCUAUACCUGCGUACGUAAUAUAGAGGGUGUCCCUCUCGAGUACAGUUUAUUAGUUUUGCACAAGUGCGGUGAUUGUCGUAACCGCGAUUAUGCAGUUAUUACAAGCGAAACAGCGUUGCGGAACAUAAAGCUCUUAAAAAAAAAACCAUUAUUAAUUUUACAAUAAACAGUUCAAUUUUGAAAUUUUUCAAUUUUUUUUUUUUAACGUUUGUUAGAAAAACUUCUAGUGGGUUGAAAUAUGACACUUUUAGCGGAGAGGAGAGGAGGAAAUCGUACGGCUUUUCUUGACCUGCGCUCUUUCUAAGGGAGACUUAAAAGUCCUCGGACGUGCCGGGAAUAUCCAGGACACCGUGUACAUAUCCAUCCGCAUUCCAAUCCACACGGCUGAAGAUAGAAAUCGAUUUAAAAGCUCGAAGUAGAAUACGAGUAGGAAUUAAUUUGAAGGUAUCGCGUGAUAUAUAGGAUUUCGAGGGCUCGUAGGGUCGCGCGGACGUUGCAAUAUCGGGAUAAUUCGAAGAUUCGAAACGAUUUGGGGAUACUCCAUCGCGGUACUCUAUGUAGAUGGAAAAAUAUAGUCCGCUAUAUCGAUUGCCGACUUUACCUGGCGCACUUUUAUGGGUAAACUGUGCGCUCUCUCCCCUCUUCCCCUCCUCUCUCUCUCUCCCUCCCUCUCUCACUGUCUGUCUGUCUGUCUGUCUGUCUGUUUUUGUGUGCGUCCGUGUGCAGCAUUUUGUACAGCUUUCAUUCUGUCGAAUAUCUAUGGCCAGCCGCGCUCGCCACGCGGCUGCUGACCCGCGGGAUAUUUGUCCGGACUAGUCCGGGACACGUUAUUCCCGGUCCGAAGGUCUGGCCGACCGGGCUGGCGGCGUCAUAAAUCACCGACCACUUUGUUCCGCGGUGCGCGAGAAUAUCGUGCCAGGUGGCACGGCCACGUGGAGAAUGCUCCCCCUUUUGUCCUCUUUUUUUGUGGUGUCCGCCACUUGCAAUUAACCCUUUUUUUCGAGCCUUUAUUAUUAAGAGAGAUACAUGCUCGCGACAUUCCCUCCUGGGCGAUAUUUGUCAACUAAUUUCGGACGGAAUUUGCAACGGGACCCGCGAGUAGGAACAUUAGUGACAUAAAUUACACCGCGAGGAAUUAAAUUGCUGGAUCGUUAUAUACAUUUGGAACAAGGGAAAGAGAUCACACAUACAUAUAAGCGGAAUUUAAGCGCUUUGAGGCCGUAAAAGGAAAUCGAUCUGAACACCGUAAUAAGUUUUCGAAAUGAGUAUUCACAUCAAGGACAAUGAGAACCUGUUACUGUUAUGAUUUCUACAAACUAGAUAUUAUUGAAUUGAAUUUGAAAAAGUAAAAAUGGAGACGGAAACGUUUGGCUGGAGAAAAACGGCGGCUUUGUAAAAUCAUUGAUCGUGCGACACGGCGGGGCUUUCAAAGCUUUCGAGUGGAGCGUUCGAGUGCCCGGAGCGAUCAAACUUUCGAGUGACGAGCGGUUCGAAACGUGCUUCCGCUUCUCAGAGAAAGCGUGUAGUCUCUACCUUUCGCAGGAUAAACGCGCGCGCGACAACAUUCUGCCGUCUCGCGCUCCCCCUUAAAUCGAUCAUCGCUUUCAUAAAGCGUCACCCGCCCGGAAUGACCUCCCCGUGAAUGAAAGGUGGAGGCAGGAUAAAGUUCGGGGAACGAGCGGGGGGUGGAUACAAGAGAAAAGAAAAAAUUCUUCUCGUCCCGCGCCUUGGGAAUACCUUUCUUCUCGUCUCCGAGAAAGAGAGCGGCACUUCCUCCCUCUCAAAACUUUGGGGAUGUCAAACUUUGGGAUUCCAGAAUCGUCAAGCUUAGGAGUUUAGCUACAGGUUGGCGCCUUAAAUUCUCACAGUCAUAGAAAUCCGCAAGACUGCGAGUUUAGCUGUAACUUUUAAUCCAAAGGUCGAGAAAGUUAAAAACUUUUGAGACGCGCGGGAUUUCGGACGUGUUACGAAUUUUUGGGUCGACUUUUGGAUGGAUUAAAAUUAUGAAAUCUAAAGAUGCGUUCGACAAAAUUUAAACUGGGCGUCAAGGACUUAAUUUCUGAAUCUGAAUAUUUUAUUUAUAGCAUAUUUUAAAUGUAUACAUCACUGUUGCGUGCUCAUUAACAUAGAAAGAAAUUACAAGAAAAUGUUUAAUGCAUUUUGCAAAAUCAAAAUUUUAUAUACUUUUUCGUCUACUAUUGUCAAUGUGUAUUUUAUAAAAGUUAUAACUAUAACAUUAUGUAUAUGAUAUGUUUCAUUUUAUUUUUACUUAGUUACUAUAUGUAUAACUAGUAUCGUAACGUUCAGGGGGAUUUCAAGAAGUAAUUUAACGAAAAGUUAUUCAGUUUGAUAUGAAAUAUCAGAUUAUGCACUCCACGUACCGUGGAUCUGUUUCCAUCUGAAUGUUUAAAGAAGACCUUUAGUCCUCCGCGCACCGUUUAAGUUUCAACUUAUUACCAUAAAGAAAAUAAAAGGAUCCCUUUACGUCGAGUUAAAUGUAACGGCGAGUCAGGUUGCUAUUUCUUUUUCGCCAAGUUUCGCGAGUGUUCGCUUGAACGAAAUUUCGCAAAAAUUUCCACAGAAAUGCUUUUUGUAAAAAAGAUUCUUGCCUCUUUAACAUAAUACGCAAGGCGCUCGACUAUUAGAAGAUGUUUACUUCAAUGGAGCGUUUCGGAAGAUUGAAACUUUCAGAAUAUGACAUUUCCACAUGCACGGUAUCUUAAUAGUUUCGCUAAACUAAUUAUAGGACUUAAUAUUAGUUAAAAUUAGUUAUGAGACAGUUCGGCUAUGAUUAAGAUUGGUUAUGGCUUGAUAUUAACUUUUAGAGAAUAAUGCGUUUCCUCUAAUUUGGGAUCCUGUUCGAAAAAUUGAUGCUUGUUUCUGAAAUGUUUAAGAAGGACGAAGUUUCGUUUCAGGCUUUUGUAUGUACGAAAGUAAAGAUCAAUACUAAAAUAAGCAAAUAAAUUUCAACGUCGAGAGCACUUGGAUUUCGUACAUAAAUCUCAUGAAAUAUAGGGAACAUACAUAUAUGACGAUACUAAAAGAAGUCGACAAACUUUGCAAGCAUAUUCUUUUAUCGGCUUAGGAUUUUUCCUUGUAAAAAAUUGUAUGAAUGCCACUUUUUUCUGUACAGGGUUUUUAUUUUUUAAGUUAAAUUUUUUUCAAAUUUUAGAGAUCAUUUAAACAGAGAUUAAAUUGAAAUUAAAUGGUAAGGGAUUUUAUUAUAUUUCUUUCCAUUUCUAGAGCUCGAUUCGCCAAAUCUUUUAUACCGAUUGCCUAAAAAAAAACAGUCUCGAUACCUUUUAUUGAGGAAAGAAAGGAAAAUCGAAUUAAUUUCUGCGAAUUAGACAGACGAGAAAUUUCAGCUUCUUGAAAACUGCAGCGGUUUUUCGAAUUUGUCGACAUAUAAAAAGAGAUUGACAUUUACAAAUAGAAAUUUCGUCGACAAGUUGAAAUGCCGCGGAAUUGUGUCGAAGAGUAUGCGAGCUCGAAUUCGGGCGCGAUGUAUUGACACAUCCUGGACCACGUUUUUCCUUUUUCUUCUCUGCCUGAUGGAUUCGGAGGGUCGCGAGGAUGGAAAUAGCUCGCCGUGUGUACGAAAAUUCCUAUUCAAUGUCCUCUUUAUUCCCCAUUUCUUCUAUUUCCAUUCUAUCACCCGGAGAUGCGGGGAUUUAAGAAUACGAAGAACGAUAAACUUUUGCGGAGAGGCAAAAGUGCCGCUCUUAAAAAAUCGAGUAAACUGAGAAUUCGCCAAGUCACAUUUAUGUGUUAUAAGGAACUUUUGAAAUUUGAAGAAUCGUGGAUCCCACGAACUAAAUGUUUGAGUGAGCGGAUAAAAGUGCUAACGGUCAAAUAUUCGAAGAAUAAAAGUUUAGCUGCGUUCCGCAUUUGAGAAAUCUUGGGAAUCGAGGGAGACUUUUUUUAAGAAGCAAAAAUUUUGAGCAUUAAAAAGUUUUUAUUUUCACUUAACAUUUCUAAUUAAUUCGCUGUUUAUUCUUUUCAAUGGUAGAUUUCAAGACUGUAGUGGAAAAAUUAGUUUGUUGAUUCUCUCUCUCUCUCUCUCUCUCUCUCGGAAAAAGCUGAGGUGGGAAAAAUAAAAACUAUCGGAUAUCAUCGGGGUAGGUAUAUUCGAGGUGCAAGCAUGGAUGCGCGAAAAUCUGCAGGCGAAUUCAAUUUUCUAGGCUUGUAGCGAGCGCUAUUAAAGCGGUAUCGCGUUGCUGUUGCAUCACGUUCCAUCACUUUUGAGUGCUUAAUAUGGCCGCCAUCGCGCCAUUAAGCAUAUCGAUGCAGCCUUUGCGUCGCUGCAAAUUUCGAUUAACGGAUGGCUUCGCCGAUGCAUAAUAACAAACGACUCGCUAUUCACGCGAGAGGUAGCUUAGUGAUAUUGACAACGGGGAUUUAUGUCUACCAUGAUUAAUCUAUUACUGGCUCGUGUAAAGUGCAUCCUCUAUUUCUACCACUGUGGAUUUCGUUUUGUUUUCGAAUAAUGGUAGGUAAAAUUUAAUUUACCAAAAAGAUGACGAAUAAAAAAUUUUAUUCUUGAAAGAAACAAAAAUUGUUUAAAAAGUAAGUUUAAAAAGUAAGUUUGAGAAUUUUUUACUAUUUUGAGAAUGUCUCGCAAUCAGAUAUCGAGAAUUUGUAUGGAAUUUAGAAAAUUAAAAAAUAACAUUUGAAACAAAGGAGAGUUUAUAUUUUCUUCAUUUUUAAAUAAACAUGCAAUCUUUUGAUAAUUAAAAAGAAACAUUAACUGAACUUUUAGUUUUUUCUAUUUCUGCAAUUUUUUAAAAAUUUGAAUUUCUUUUAUAAAAUCAUUUAUUUCUGUAUUUUCGAAUAUAAAUUUCAGUGAAAAAGGUCAAUAAAGGUUUAGUUCUCUCUUAAUUGUUAAAUUGUCACAAUUUCCGGAUAAAGUGUGCGUAUGUAAAAUGUGUGUAUGUUAAAUUCUAAAAUAUAACACUAAAAUUGUCGUGUUUUGCUUAUUAAAAAAGUGCUGCGUAAAAGAAAAAAAAAAGAA